ACGUAUCUCUGACGGGACGUGGUCCGCCCCGCUCCGGUCCGAUAGGGCCGUGCAGCGGGUGGGCCGCUCCCGUUCGAACCUCACAAACCCACUGUGAACCUUCACGGCGGAGGGGGCUCGGUCUGUGCCGUGUCCCCGAGGCCGCAUACCAAACUCCAGUUGCAAAGAAUGUCGUGCGGACCUUGUGCCGCCUAAAACACAUAA
rnacentral:misc_RNA from 1 species